rnacentral:lncRNA from 1 species
UGCAUACCUAGAAAUAUUUCUUUCUCUAAUUUUCCUGGGCUUCAGUGAAGGGUUUUGAAAAGAACAGUCUGAUUAAACUUCGAGCAUCCUGUGGAGAAUUAUUUUAAGCAUCAGCUAACAGCCAGAAGGUCUGAAAAAGAUCACAUCAUGCAGCCAGCCCUCCAGUAUGACAAUUGUCAUCUCCAACCCUCAUGAAAAUUAAUGCUGAAGCAUCGUUCCUAUAUAACCGAAAGAGAAAAGACUCAGGUCCCUUGUGAUCAACUCCAUCCUGUGAUCAACUCCGUCCUGUGCUCAACUCUGUCCUUCAAAGAAUGGGUGAUACGGUGGUGCGUCAGCAGUGCUCCUCUCUCGACGAUAUUGAUUUGUUUUCUGACAUUUUCAGCGGUGGGCUUGAAGCACUUUGACUGAAGUAGCGCAGAAAAAAUACAUGAAGCUAUAGGGUCUAUGUGCCUUGUGUGUUACGAAACUCUAUUCUAUUUACUGGAGAGGCACUCACAUUUCCCAGUGCCAGUGGGGCAUUUCUGCAGCUUUCUCUUCACUAACCUUGUAAUUGCUCUCUCAGUCUCCCUCUCUCUCUCUCUCUCUCUCUUAAAAUCCUGGGUGUAGGUGCAUGACAAGCUGGGGGAGGGGGCAUAUUUUCUCUUACAUGCAUACACAAAUUAAAAGGAUAUUAAUGGAAGAUUGCAAUAUCAAUAAUUUGAAUUAAAAAAUUAGAGUGUCUUCUUUAAAAUUCUUGCUCACUUGUGGUUAAUUCCAUCUUCUUAAUGAACUUUCGAAAGAUUUAUGAUCUUUUUACCUCUGGCUUCAGAAGGAGGGCUUUUUUUAUUUAAAGAAAUAUCUCCAUUACACUGUCACACAACUUACUUACUUACUGUUUUAGUGCCAAGUAACGGGGAAGCCAUAAGAAAAGCAGGGAAAUUACUCUAGGACUAUAGCUUGCAAAGCAGAAGAAACUCCCUGACCUGUCUAACCAGCAGGUCCACUGGCUUCAUUUCUCAUCCUGAGACACCUCAGGCAAGUCCCUUAAAAAAUAUGUGGGCUCUGUCUCUCAAUUUUAUAUAUAUAAAACUAUAUGUAUUAUAUGUAUAUGUACACACACAUAUAUGUAUAUAGACACAUAUACACACACAUAAAUGUAUAUAUGUACAGAAUAUAUAAAUUAUUUAAAAUAAGUCUCACAACACAUUUUGUUAGGGUUAUUUUUCAGCUGGAUCAGCUCUGUGAUCCUGUUAAUUAUGUGUCUCCAUAGCUGUUGUUCGGACCCAGUGGGGAAGAUUGCGUGAGGCUAGGAGCAAAUAACUGCAUGUGACAAAGGACAGACCCUGCUUAGCUGGGGUUUUGCCACUGGCAGAAAUGUCCUUGGGACCAUAGCCCAGGAGGCGGCACAGGGCUGAAGCAGUGACGCACU